rnacentral:lncRNA from 1 species
AUUAGACAGGCUGUGGGGCUGUCCUGAAACUCUGCGCUUGCCCAGUGCCUUUGGAUGGGUGCCCUGGGAAGGCUGGAAGCUGGGCGGGCCCUGCAGAAGAGGAUGGAGCCACAGCUUUGCUGAUUCCAGUGAAGCCCAAGGAAGGGCUCAGCUAUCCAGGAAACCCUCCAGGGGAAAAGGAUUGGGUUCUGGAAUCACAAAGCCCAGGGUCUUAAUCACAGCUCUACUGCUUACAAGCUUCGGACAUUGAGUUGAACUCUUGACAGUCUGAGGCCCAGUCUCCAUAUCCGUAAAAAGGGAAUAAUGAGGCCUUCUUAGGUUUGCUGGGGGUGUUUGAACAGGAAGCUCUGGGCCCAGGCUCCAUUCGGACCUCCCAUUUUUCUACCCACAAACACCCCUCCCCAUGGAAUAGUCUGUGCCAGGCUAAGCAGGGCACAGUGCUUGGGCCAAAGGCACACAGAGGAAGUCCCCCCUGGAAAACCUUGGAAGAAAGAAAUGGAUGGCCCCAGAGGACACAGCGAUGAUGCUGACAAUGGACAGAAAACUGCUCAGAGAAAGAUCUUUAUGUGUCAAUGGUAAGACAAAAAAAUGGAAAUACUCGAAAGAUUCAAAACCAGAAAUGGAUUAAGUGGCAGUGGAGUAUUAUGGCUUGGUGAUAAAGACUGCGCAUUCUGGAAUCAGAUGGACCUGGAAGCCUGAUGGGAAAGAGAUGUGAGGUCGUUGAAGGAGCCUUCAGGAACGCUGGAAAUGUCAUUGCCAUGGAGGGUUCUGAAGCAGAGGGCACAGGUCGGAAGCUGAGAAAGGAAGAGACCCAAGGGAGUUACUGGAGUUUCAGAGAUCAUAUGAAGAGCUGUGCUUAAGACCGGAAGUUCUGGAGCCAGGCUGUAUGUCAAAGUGCCAACCCUGGACCAUGGUUGGGAGGUCACAGUGAGUCACCUUCUGGCUCAGCAGAAGAAUUUUCUGAUGCUCUAAUAGCUGGUCAAAAGUGGAAUAGAGUUGCCUGGGUCUGGCUCUAUUGCCCAGGCUGGAAUGCAAUGGCGUGCUCUCAGCUCACUGCAACCUCUGCCUCCCAGGCUCCAAUGAUCCUCCCACCUCCGCCUCCCAAGUAGCUGGGACUACAGGCGCAUGUUACCAUGCCUGGCUAAUUUUUUGAAUUUUUUGGUAGAGACAGGGUUUCACUAUGUUGCCCAGGCUAGUCUUGAAGUCCUGGGCUCAAGCAAUCCUCCCACCUCGGCCUCCCAAAGUGCUGGGAUUACAGGUGUGAGCCACCAUGCUGGGGCAAGCCUACUAAUUCGUAUUUCAAGAAGCAAGUGCUAGCGUGUUGUAUGGUUACGUGUACCGCUGAUGAACUCAUGGCAGUAGUAGUGCCAGACUGGGACAAAUGAUGCUGAGGAAAGAGAAAACCCUGGUCAGGCUGGUGGUGUUCACCCCAUCACCCCCACCACCCCAAAAGACAGACAGAUGGACGGGCAAACAUUUUCUCUCCCUCUUACAUAUUGAGUUGCCCCAAACAUCACUACUCUAAUUAUGAACAGAUGCAUGCAGAUUCCUUAAAAUUGGCAGGUCCCACCUCCUGGCAGUGAACCCACACACGGAACUAUUAGACUGGGAUGGAAGACAAUAGGUUGGGAUUGAGGGGGAAUGGUAGGAGAAGGAAGGGGGAGCAGGUCCGGCUUCAGCCCUGGCCAGUGAUACGAGCCCAUCUCCUGCUGUGUUCAACUGGAAACAGGGAAAUGGUUGUGCUGAUGUAUCCAUUCUCAAACUCCCCAGAGAAGGUGGAUAAUAAAUAAGUGACAAUAACAGAUUGCACACUGUCAGCGCGGGCACUUCUUUGCCCCCAGAGAAUUGAUUUUUAAUAACAGCGCAGAUGACAUGUGGCGGGAGUUGUCACUGACACCGGUGUUUUGUGGGCCUCAAUAAAUCACAUCAGCCUGGAGGCUCUGAAAUGG